rnacentral:rRNA from 1 species
GAUGAACGCUGGCGGCGUGCCUAAUACAUGCAAGUCGAGCGAACAGAUGAGGAGCUUGCUCCUCUGACGUUAGCGGCGGACGGGUGAGUAACACGUGGAUAACCUACCUAUAAGACUGGGAUAACUUCGGGAAACCGGAGCUAAUACCGGAUAAUAUAUUGAACCGCAUGGUUCAAUAGUGAAAGACGGUUUUGCUGUCACUUAUAGAUGGAUCCGCGCCGCAUUAGCUAGUUGGUAAGGUAACGGCUUACCAAGGCAACGAUGCGUAGCCGACCGGAGAGGGUGGUCGGCCACACUGGAACGGUGACCCGCCCCAGACGCCUACGGGAGGCAGCCGUAGGGAUUCUUCCGCAAUGGGCGAGAGCCUGACGGAGCUGCGCCGCGUGAGUGAUGAAGGUCUUCGGAUCGUAAAUCUCUGUUAUUAGGGAAGAACAAAUGUGUAAGUAACUAUGCGCGUCUUGACGGUUCCUAAUCAGAAAGCCACGGCUUACUACGGGC